AACAUUUCGCAGAGGUAAUAUCGUACCGAUAAAGUUAAUCCGAGGUGCGAUUAUUGCUAGUUAAAAACUUUACCAACACCUCGCCUUCUGGAUGUGCAAUACCAUUAGCUCUGGCAAUUUUUGAAAGGUCGAACAAGCCAAAGAUGCCGUCUGGCUGCAAACUGGACGAC